rnacentral:lncRNA from 1 species
GAGGAUUAAUCCCUUCCCCCUGCAUGCUGCGUUUCCCUGCAACUCCUCUGGCAUCUAAAUAACACGCAGCUUGGCUUUGUCUCUUCCUCCCAGAUCCAUUUGUUGGCCUCAGUAAUCUCCGUUGUUCUCCGCCGUGCUGUCUGCAGUUCGGCUCUGUCUGGAGUGAAAUGUGGGACCCAGGAGGAAACAGAAAUGGGUCUUCUCAGCAACACUCAAGCAACAGAUGACUCUGCCGAGACUCCACCUGGAAGGCUGCGCUCAGCUCGGAGCUCCUAAUUACCAGCCAGGAUUUAAACAGGAAACUCUCCCAUCACCUGCUCCAGGUGAUGAAGCCUACCUCAGAUCCUCAGUGGGAAAAUUAACAGAGCAGAAGGGUGGUGCAGGGUGGCUUCAGGAAGUCUCCUAGGCUCUGUCUGGGGUGGGAGUCAAGCCCAGCAGAAGAGCCUUCCUACACAUAGAUCUUCUAUGUCUCUGCACGGAUACGAGGCCCUCCUAUGUUCCCAAGCAGAGAAUGUGUAGGAUGCUCAGAGUUUUCUGUGAAGUCUACACUCACACGUGAUGGAGGCGAAACAACAGACUCUGGAACAAGGAACAUGCAUGCCAUUCAUGUCCCUUCUUUUCUUCAGGGUGAGUGUCCUGAAUGUACCCACUCUGUGCCUUGAAUAGAUGCCCACUUCCACAAGAUCUGGUUGUCAUUAUCUUAAAUAGUGAUCAAUGAGAAAAGGCCCAUCUCAUUGUGGAUGGUCCCAUCUCUGGGCUGGUGGUCCUGGGUUCUAUAGGAGAGUAGGCUGAGCAAACCAUGAGUUAGUAAGCCAUGUACCAUUCUAUGACCUCGGCAUCAGCUCCUGCCUCCAGGUUCCGGUCCUGUUUGAGUUCCUGUCUUGGCUUCCUUCACUGAUGGACUGUACUGUGGAAAUAUAAGACAAAUAAACCUUUUCCUCCUCAAGUUGCUUUUUGGUCAUGGUAUUUAAUCGGAGCAGUAGAAAGCCCAAGGCAGUCACAGUGCUGGGGGAGUUGGGACAGGCAGAUCCUUGAGUUUCACUGAAAAGUCAGCGCCUUGUCCAUCAGUGAACUCAACGUUAUACUCCCCACCCCUUCCACUAAAACAAAACAAACAAACAAGACAUGACAAGAAACCAACCCAGGAUGCUCUUGUAGAGGCUUCUUGGCUGCAGGAAUGUAGAAUAUGCUAUGUUGCAGGGAGUUGAGGAAUGGUUAGGGACAACCUAAGAAGA